UGCGCAGGCGGAAUAAUAAGUCAGUGGUGAAAUCUCUCGGCUCAACCGAGAAACUGCCAUUGAUACUGUUAUUCUUGAGUAUAGUUGUAGUGGGCGGAAUAUAGCAUGUAGCGGUGAAAUGCUUAGAUAUGCUAUAGAACACCAAUCGCGAAGGCAGCUCACUAAACUAUAACUGACGCUCAGGCACGAAAGCGUGGGGAGCAAACAGGAUUAGAUACCCUGGUAGUCC
rnacentral:rRNA from 1 species